UACCCUUAUUCCCUAUUCUUUCUCUAAUUAAUUAAAUUAAAAAAUCAAAAUCCCAAUCUGGUCAUCUCCGACUCUAGACGCUGUCUCCGACUCUCGACGUCGCCUCCAACACUAGACGUCAAUAUCAUCAACUCCAGCCUGACUCAUAUUCAUCGCCAUUAUCUCCGCCGUCGGUCAUCUCCUCCGCCAUUAUCUCUGACGUCAUCAUCUACGUUUGUCUCCCUCAGAUCCAAUCGCUGCUCCGCUGUGUCAUUUACUCUAAUCUUCAUGCACUUGAGAAAGCUAGAAAGCUUGAUGCUUUGCUACCACUUCUUACCGAUCAUAAAGUCACUGACUUGAUUACAUGUGAAGGUUGUUAGAGUGCACAUAAAGCUGCAGUUGGUAAAGAAAAAUCAGAACCUUUUUGGUUGAGAGAAAUUAAAUCUAAUGAAUUUUUUCUGAUUUAUCACUUAUUUGUAUGUUAUUACAGCUGUUUCUGUGUCAAGAGAGGUGUGUGAUCACAUUUGAUACUGCGUGGAGAGCAGUCCGAGGUUUUGACUGGUUAUAACCUCGUUUCAACCAUGUAUGGAAACGUUAUGUACGUUCCGAGAUCAAAGUGUGCGAAUCGAAAGGAAAUUCUGAGAACUCGUGUUGUUCUUGUCGCUGGGGAAGACGGUUCAGUCUUAUGGGCUAAAGACCAUGAUCUGAUCACUUAUUUUUUCUGCAGGUACGACAGUGUCACUAUUCAUGCUGAUCUUGAAUGGCAAGAUCAUUUGAAUGAGAACAACAAAACCUUUCUUUGACUUGUGUGAUGGAAUCUUCAUGAACUAUACAUGGAAGGAGAACUAUUUCAAUAUAUCAGCAGAAGUUGCAGGGGACAGAAAAUAUGAUGUCUACAUGGGAAUUGAUGUCUUUGGACGUGGCUCCUUUGGUGGUGGGCAAUGGACUGUAUGUUUCAGAAACUUUUAAGAACACCAACAAUUUUGUCAUAGUUUUUCUUCAUUUUCUCAUUAAUCUAUAUAUGAUAGGUUAGUACUGUUCUUGGUUAGACAUAUCAUGUAUUAAAAACAACAUGUACAUAGUUUUCACGAAGUCCUUCCUAAAUAUUUUGUUUAGUAUCCUAACAUGUGUUAUUUUUAAUUAAAUAUUAAAUCUUCAGGAGGCCCUUCCUAUUUAGUUUA